UGCUAAGUUCCUCCCAAACUCCUACCCUCACAAGGAUUGACUGUGAUAUUCCAUGAACAAUUGCCAUAUGGGAGUAUAGAAAAAGAGGAAAGAAGUUAUAAUAAUAAUAUUAAAUAAAUAAAUGAAAAAAAAAAAAGCAAUUUUUUUCUGAAAGUACCUUCACAUUUCACUAUGGUUAUUAUCAUAAAAAAAAAUUAGUAACACAGAUGGAGGUAAAAAUGAGGGAAGGAAGCAUUAAUAUUAAUUAAUUUUUUUUGCUGUGUAUGUUCGCAUUAUAUAAGCUUACAUUGGACAAGAUCGUUUAAGGUACAUUACUCUUCUCUUUUGAUUCCCUUCACUUUUCAAUUUAUCAAUUCAUUCCAUCAGUGAAAUACAACGCCACACUUUUCUCCUAUUUUUUUUUUUUCAAAAAGUAAAGCCAUUAGUAUUGUGAAGAGUUAUAUACUUAAUAUAUAGACGACUACCCAAUCAUGAAAAAAAGUAGUGAUACAUGCAUUUUGAUUGAUUAUAUAUAUUGGUAUUUUCAUUAAUUUCAGAUAUGGGUUUUUGAGAGUUGAAUCGGCUUGUACUUCUUCUCAGCUCGUCAGAACCUUAUCGUAUUCGUACAUUUCGAACGACGAAAUUGGAAAGGGAUUUGCUGGGUUUUAAGUUAUUAUAAUAAUGGGUUGAACAAUAUUUCAUGAAAUUAUAUAUAAUUACUAUAAAUCUUCCUAUCGUGAUAUCAUAUAAGGCGUUUUCGUGGAUUUAUUUUGUCAUUGUCCAAUUAUAAUAUACGUGGUUUGAUAGUAGAUAUAGAUUUUUCAGGAAACAACAUUAUGUUUAUACGUGGCUCCCCACUUGUAUAAACAUCAUGUAACAAGAUAUAGAUUUUUCUGUUUUUCUGUUUUUGUUUAAAUAUGAAUUUGAAUUAAAUAUAUAUUUUUUGUAUUAAAUAAAUAUAAAUUUGUUUAAAAUAAAACAAAAUUAUAUUAUUUAGAUGAAAUAUCAGGUGAUAUUUUAAUAUAAUUAUAUUGUAUUUUAUAAUUUAUUUUAAUAUAAUUUAAAAUAUCACCUGAUAUUUAUUUUAAGGAAGCAGUUUUAUACGAAAUAUCACCUGAUAUUCAUUGGAUAUAUACUGGUCCAAUAAAGGUACUCUACUAAAAUUGAUGAUUGUUAUAAGGUACUCUAGCAUAUAUGUAUGUCCACUAUAUAUAUAGCUCAGUAAGUCAUCGACUGUAGUGUCUCUUCCAACUUAAAGAUUUUGAGCAAAAGGCUGUUCUUACUGCAUAGGUACCCUUUCUUCUCUUCCCAUCUCUUAAUUUUUAGUUCUUCAAUUUUCCACAGAUCUUCUAUUAAUUAACUCAUUCAUAUUCACAUAUAUCUAAUAAUUAAUCUCUUAAUUAAUUAGGCCAUUAACUAUACAUAUCAUACGUAAUCUUGAAUUAAUCUUCUUUUUAAUAAUUUUCUCAAGAAAGGUCAUUACGCAUUCUUAUUUGUUUUCGCCUCUAUCAGUUGACACAAGUAAAUUUUUGUUAUUUCUUAGUAAAGUCUGCAAUCCUAUUGUUACACACUUGGCCAUCCUUCUUCCUCAGCAAAGCUCUUAUUUGAAGAUCAAAACUUGGUUCUUGCCAUUUAUUGUCGGUUUAGAUUAUUUGUGUUGUACUCUCCAUUUGAAUAUCAGGUUGCUGUCAUUUAUUGUCGGUUUAGAUUAUUCGUGCCGUACUCUCCAUUUGAAUAUCAGAUGCCGACUCUACACCAAUCAGUUGAUGACAUCACUCCAACCAUAGUUGGAUGGAAAAUAAAAAUGACAGUUCUACAAAAAUUUCCACCACGAACAAGCAUGAGUUCACCAGUCCGAUAUCAGAAGCUGUAUUUAUCUGAUCCAAAGGGGACGAGAGUAGAUGCAGUAAUUUUCGCAGACGAUAUUGAAGCUUUGGAGGACACUUUGCAUGAGUUACACACCUACCACAUCGUUGAUGCCCGUGUCA